GCGGAUGUGGCGAAAUUGGUAGACGCACUAGACUUAGGAUCUAGCGCCUCCGGGCAUGGGGGUUCGAGUCCCUCCAUCCGCA
rnacentral:tRNA from 5 species